CCUAACACUGGGAACAUCUGGCCAAUAUUCCUCGGCUCCUGGGUCUCACUCAGGUGGGACACACAGGCAGCUGCCCAGGCACAAGCAGAGCUACCACAGUGUGCCAGGCCAGGUCAGACAGAACUGGCCUCCAAGCGAGAAGGUGGGCAGGCCAAGCCGGGCUCAGGGCUCCACGCGAGGACCAGCGCUCUGCAUCCACAGUGAGCAUGCUUGUCGGCGUCCUGUCUCAGAAGCUGCUGUGGGUUGUGUGCUGCGGGUGCGAAGCACCAGGGUUCUCUCCAGAUGGCCGAUGCUCCCCUCAAGGAUGCCGUUAUCACAGAAGACUUCACCACAGCAGAUAUUUUUAAGGAAACUUAUGAAACCAAACUUCUGAUACAUUUGCCUUAAGAUACUCAUUUUGCACUAGUGGUCAGAGUUUCAGCACUGAAAAUGGCACUACCUUUUGGGGACUGCAGCCCUCAUUUUACAACAUGGAAACCAGAAGCCAGCCCUCUUUCUGCUCAUGCUGCAAAUAAGCUGGAAAGUGAAGAUACCCAUCCCACUCAGUGCUCUGUGCAUGGCUUCUCCACUUAGAACAGAUUGCACUAAAUUUGAUCCAGCACGGCUAGACCUAUCGAGCCGGGGAUCCUCGGAAGCUCCGCGUGCUACCGCAAGGAUGAAAACACCAGUGUCCAUCAAACAAGAUGUGGAGAGCGCCAGUCCCUGCCUAGUGCAGGAAGUAGAUCUGCUUCAGCAGCUGGGCAGAGAGAGGACAUUUGUGCGGGUGACCAAGAGCAGCAAGCAGGCUAGCGAUCGCGGUGCAGCCGGGUGAGGACGACCUCUUCUUGCCCAUUCUACAUUCUUCGUACAUUCUACGAAACACUGGUUGGAAACAUCCCUCCCUGGUCAGCCCCGCAGUGUCUGACACUCAGACUUUCUCAGGAAGGGAGACUCCUUUCCCAGCUGUCUGUCCAGAUUUCUAAUAUCAGUUUGUCCUCCCAGGUGAGGCUGCCGCUGGUGCUCAGCAGAUGCUCCUGCUCUGGUCUGCAUGUCCCUGACCGAUUCGGUGGACCAUGUAUCAGCAGCUUGAAGGUUUGGCUUUUAGAUGUGGGUGCAUUUGGUCCCCCAGGUGAUCGUCCUGGAGAAAAGUGCAUGCAGUGCGAACAACACAUGUCUUCCCAAAAGAUGUCAGCAGGAUGUUAGACCUCUAGAACCUUCUGGAUUUUAAAAAUGCGUGUUCUCACCCACUGUCUGGAACUCCAGCUCUGAGGUCCCCUGUGCCGCUGGCCCCAAGGGGACACAAGUCUGCAAAUGUCCCAGCUCUGCCCCAAGGGCCCAGCCCAGGUCCCUGCCAUCACCUCCCCUUGAGUGCCAACCCUCAGUUCUGGCUGUCACAGCUGCCCCACCGAGGUCCCUGCUGUCCUCACUUUGCUACUGUGUUGGAGGACCGGGUAUGCUGCAGGCUGUCCUGCUUGAAACCAGAGUCUGCUCGACUUGUUUUCUGUCGGUCCUGUUCUCACCACGGGGACAUGAAGUUUCCAAGUGUCGUCCUGUACCCUGAAAGACAUUUGGGGCUUGAGUGUCCUGGUGACCUGAAACAAGCGCUGUUCAGAUGACCGCCACCUUGCUCUUUGGGAACCAGACCCUGGGUGGACACCAGGCUCCUUCUUCUGUAAGGCCAUGGGUGGCCAUCCACCUGGUGUGUGGCCCCUGCAGCUUGUGUGGAUGGGCUCCACACCUCGGAGAGCAAUUCUCCCAUCUGAGCCCUUGAAUGACUCCCCAGUAGCCCCUGGUUCCCCUAAGAGUCCACUCAUCAGGCUGAAGUCAUAAGGCCCUGGAGCACUCAGUAGGAAAAAGGCAGGCAGAGGACACUGAGGCUCCCAGCACUGGCUGGUCCCGUUCAGAGACGUCAGGACCCCGGGGCCAGCAAACCCAUCACGGUCACAGUGGGCACCCUCAGCCCUGCACCCCGUCCUCAUGAGCUUCCCAAAUCCUCAGCUCCAGGGACAGAGCAGGCACACAUCACCCCUGUGAGGAUCUGUGGGCAUGGUGACAGGAGCGCCGCACCACCCACGCGGGACACGACCGCACAGACGGUGCAGGCUGCCCUCUCCAGAGGCCGCAGCUGGCGGCAGAUCUAACAGCGCAGGGCGGCUGAAAGCUGGCCCAGGCGGACGGCAUCAAAGGCUGCACAUUCCUCCCGAUCAUGGGAACAGGGAGCUGGAAGGUCUUCGGGACAAGAAUGUGGGCUGGGCUGCCCACUUUACCCGCAUGCCUGCCCACACUCUGCUCCUCGGGUGGUGCCCUCCACCUCCACAGGGAAGACGAGGGUCCGAGGUCAUCGAGGGGGACUUCCAGCAUCUGCCGGCUGCCCUCCCCAGACCAGAAUGCCUGUGGGUAGUCAGAACCUGACCUGGCGCCAGGGUUGUGCAGCCGUGGAGAGAAUACGGGCUGGCAGCUGUAGAGUCCAAGGCUGCGUGGGCCGUGCUGUGCCCAGUGGACCCUGCACAUUCCCGUCCCCACCAAACGUAACCCGGUGGCCUGCAGCACCCCAGGCCCAACCUGCAGGCCUCACUGGCAUCAGGGCUCAGGGCUUGAGAGGAGCAGACCGCCGGCUGGGGACGCCUUGGACAGACUCUUGCGACUUGGUGGGGGGACAGCGAAUAUGACAAAAGCAGAGGUGCCCGGGCACCAUGUCUGGUGUCCAGAAUCCGGCCAUCUGCCGGGUCAUCUCCUUGGGCAGGAAAGCCAGUCACUGGCCCUGCCCCAACACCACAUUUGAGAUGGGACCAGUGCCCCCGGCAUCUCCCUGUGUGGGAGGCACAGCCCACUGCAUCUGAGUGUCAUAAGCUAGGUCACUCUCAGCGUGACCCUAAGGCUGCCUGCUUGGGCUGUAGCGUAAUUUCCACGACUUGACUUUUUGACAUGAGGGAGAACCUUCCGGUCCCUCAAAGUCUGAGUUAAAUUGGCUAAAAUGGCACAUUUGCAAGGGAUAUGGGACCCUGCAGUCCUCCUGGGAUUCCGUCUCCUCACAUCCUUCACGACGGUGUCUCUGCAGAGCUGAGGUGCUCACUGGUGCAGCGAGGAGGGACAGCACUGAGGGAACAGCGAGGUCCUCAUCAGCAAGCAGGCCCAUGGCAGCACCCACUGGCUCCGUCCCCGCCGUGUCCAUUGGGUGGGUGAUGGCACCUCAUCCCCAAGGUCCCAUGGCCAUGCUGCUGCUGUGGCCCUGAUCAGCCCCAUGGCAGCCCUUGCAGAUGUGGAGGGCCAGAGGGGAGCCGGCAUCCAAGGCUCCGGUCAAGCAUCCUUCUGACUUCAUGCUAUUCCACGUGUGUGUGCAUGCUACAUAUGGAUGCUCAGCUACUCCAAACCAUGAGACCCAAAGGCCCAAUGGCUGUGAAAGGGCCCAAGUUUGACAGGAAGGGCAGUGUCAUCACCCAGGACAAGCAGAGGGAUAAACACAGCAUGUGGGACCUCGCCAAGACCCACGCAGCUGUCCUAGCAGAGGCCAUGUCUCAGUGUCCAACCGAGACUUGCUGUUUCCAGGAAUGACGGACACCUCAGGAAAGGAGUGUCAGCGCGACCUCAGGAGCCCCGGGACAGGAAGAUGGCCUCUGUGUCUGGGAGAGUAUGUGGACCGUACCAUCUUGGCCCAGCGGGUAAACACCUGGAGCGUCCCCAUGGGGUGCACGGUGCCCACAUGAAGCUUUCAGUCGGAAAACACACUUUCGGAUCCAUGACAGAGAGACCAGGAAUCGAUACAGUAUAGUUCAGUGAUGGUGAACCUUUCAGAGCUUCUGAUGGUAACAAACCUCGCACUGUACCACAAGCCGUGGUUUCUCCACCGCUGGUUUGUUCAUGAGCCAGCUUGAAUAAUUUAUCAAAUCAGGUGGGCCCGUCUCCUCCGCAGGGGUGCAGGCAGCACCUUCCAAGCUGUGAGCGUUCAGCACACACAGUCGGUCGUCCCGCGGGUUUGGCUGUGGCUGUGCCCUGAGAGAAGCUCGGUGGGCCGCGUGCUCUAACACAUGCGGGUGCUGUGGACUGGA